GAGUUCCAUACCUGUGGUCUGUCAUCUGUGGAGCACACCGCACAUGCGCGCACUCCCUCCCCCCUCUCUUCUGCCCCUCCGUCCAGCUUCCGUCUCCGGCCGGCGAUGGUGACAGCCGCCGCCACCUCCACGUCGCUCCGGCCGUCGUAUCCAUCCCCGCCUCGCUUCGCGAGUUUGCCCCGUCGGUGGUGUUGGGGGAUUCUGGUGCAUCCCGCUGGGCUGAGUGCGUUCCAUGCGGAGCGGCGGAGGCGAACUUAUGAAGCACUUUGUUAUGCGCUGCUGAUAAAGCUCCUGAAGAAUCCCUGAAGAAGACAAUUGAAGUGGAUAGGCUGAUUGAUAUGCUGAGGGAUGCAAAUCCUAGAGAGCUUGAUCAAAUAGUGGUUGAAAAUGUUCUGGCAUUCGAUGCUGGUUUCUGGGUUCGGCUGGCAGCUAGAAUUGACAUCUGCAAAUCAGAUGAUGAUAAAAAAGAUUACGAAGAGCUGGCUGAAAAUGUCAUGAACAUUGUUGACAGGCUUGUUCACAAGACUGAUAUUGAACAGUCAACUGAUGUGCUGAAGGAAAUCAUCAGUCCGGCAAUUCAUGAAGGAGAUGUGAAGUGGCCACCAAGAGACCCAGACACUCUCAAAUUGAUGGAGAAAGAAAUAUCACGCCGAGAACAAGAGGGGCAGCUUGAUGAGGGAUUUCUGUCGGAAGUCAGUGCUCAGUUGAGGCUAAACAAGAUGGAGAUAAACCAGGGCUUCAAGCUAUGUUGCAAAAGGUGUUGCAGUUAUACGCGGCCACAUCUCUCCAAAAGCGGAGUUAGGCUUACAAAGGGUCUGGUUGCUGCUCAGAAAUUCUCUCUUUCUUUUGCAUUUACUAGUUAUGAUAUCUUAUAAAUAGAGAUUGUGCAAUGCAGCACAUGAGAAUGAGUGGAACAAGGUGCUACUUGAUGGACUUACAGUUGGAAAAGGAGAUGUUUCACCCGACGAACUUUAUGCUGUUAUUUGUAAGAGAACUGAGAGGGUCUUAAUUCGAACCGAAGGUGGUUCUUAUCAGCAACACGUUCUUGUCGAGUUUCUAAAAGAGAUACAAGCUAGAGCAAAGGAAGUUGUUAAAGUGCUUCAAGGACCAACGAUUUAAGGCCUGAUGGUCCCAUUUACAGGAUACAGGUUUUGCUCUCUUUGAGCAUAGUCUGAUGGGCUGAAGAUCAGAAAUCGUUUGACAGAAAACUAGAAGCAGGUAGGUACCACCUUUUUUUCCGCAUACAUCCUUUUUCGUGCGUGCUAACAGAUUCUGCCUUUGAGUUCAGAAUUUCAGAUACAUACACCUGAUGCUGGCUCCUGAUCAAGUGAUCAGUGAUCGCAAUGGAUUGAAACGACAGUCCACUCUCUCACGAGAACGAACGAUGUGGAGUCAGGAGCAGUGCGUGAUUGCAGUGUAUCGCGUGCGCUUAUCCUGAGUGGCACGCAUUCUAGUUUCCCUGUCCUUUAACGGCUAGCUAGAUUUGCUGUUGGGGUAAUGAAAUUUUGAAAGUUUCUGUCAGCUGAAAAACUGCGACACUACACAGAAAUUGCAUGAUCAAAUAUACUCAGUGAUGCAGAAUUGGGGAUUUA